rnacentral:rRNA from 1 species
UCGACGUACGUCUACGAGAGGUUAGUUAGUACUACUGGCUCAGGACGAACGCUGGCGGCACGCUUAACACAUGCAAGUCGAACGGAGUUAUUCCUCGGGGGAUAACUUAGUGGCGGACGGGUGAGUAACACGUGAGCAACCUGCCUUACAGAGAGGAAUAAUGACUGGAAAACGGUCACUAAUACCUCAUAAAAUAUUUGAAUCGCAUGGUUUGGAUAUCAAAGAAUUAUCGCUGUAAGAUGGGCUCGCGUCCGAUUAGAUAGUUGGUGAGGUAACGGCUCACCAAGUCGACGAUCGGUAGCCGUACUGAGAGGUAGAACGGCCACAUUGGGACUGAGACACGGCCCAGACUCCUACGGGAGGCAGCAGUGGGGAAUAUUGCACAAUGGAGGGAACUCUGAUGCAGCGAUGCCGCGUGAGGGAAGAAGGUUUUCGGAUUGUAAACCUCUGUCUUAAGGGACGAUAAUGACGGUACCUUAGGAGGAAGCUCCGGCUAACUACGUGCCAGCCGCCGC